AUACGGAGGGUGCAAGCGUUAUUCGGAAUCACUGGGCGUAAAGGACGCGUAGGCGGGUUGGCAAGUCAGAUGUGAAAUCCUACAGCUUAACUGUAGAACUGCAUUUGAAACUGCUAACCUAGAGUAUGGGAGGGGGAGAUGGAAUUAGUGGUGUAGGGGUAAAAUCCGUAGAUAUCACUAGGAAUACCGAAAGCGAAGGCGAUCUCCUGGAACAUAACUGACGCUAAGGCGUGACAGCGUGGGGAGCAAACAGGAUUAGAAACCCUAGUAGUCC
rnacentral:rRNA from 1 species